GUGCUCACUUCAGCAGCACACAUACUAAAAUUAGAAUGAUACAGAGAAAAUUAGCAUUGACCCUGCACAAGGAUAACAUGCAAAUUCAUGAAGCAUUCCAUAUUUUA
ensembl:snRNA U6 U6 spliceosomal RNA